rnacentral:tRNA from 1 species
GGAGGCUUAGCUCAGUGGUAGAGUGCUUACCUACCAUGCAAAAGGCUCUGGGUUCCAUUACCAGAACCUCAA